UAGGGAAUAUUGGACAAUGGGGGCAACCCUGAUCCAGCCAUGCCGCGUGAGUGAAGAAGGCCCUCGGGUUGUAAAGCUCUUUUGUCCGGAAAGAAAAGCUUCGGGUUAAUACCCCGGGGUUCUGACGGUACCGGAAGAAUAAGCACCGGCUAACUUCGUGCCAGCAGCCGCGGUAAUACGAAGGGUGCAAGCGUUACUCGGAAUUACUGGGCGUAAAGAGUGCGUGGGUGGUUGUUUAAGUCUGAUGUGAAAGCCCUGGGCUCAACCUGGGAAUGGCAUUGGAAACUGGGCAGCUAGAGUGCGGUAGAGGGUAGUGGAAUUCCCGGUGUAGCAGUGAAAUGCGUAGAGAUCGGGAGGAACAUCAGUGGCGAAGGCGACUGCCUGGACCAGCACUGACACUGAGGCACGAAAGCGUGGGGAGCAAACA
rnacentral:rRNA from 1 species